AGGACGAACGCUGGCGGCGUGCUUAACACAUGCAAGUCGAGCGGAAAGGCCCUUCGGGGUACUCGAGCGGCGAACGGGUGAGUAACACGUGAGUAACCUGCCCCUAGCUUCGGGAUAGCUCCGGGAAACCGGAAUUAAUACCGGAUAUGACCACGGCCGACAUCGGCCACGGUGGAAAGAUUCAUCGGCUAGGGAUGGGCUCGCGGCCUAUCAGCUUGUUGGUGGGGUAACAGCCUACCAAGGCGACGACGGGUAGCCGGCCUGAGAGGGCGACCGGCCACGACUGGGACUGAGACACGGCCCAGACUCCUACGGGAGGCAGCAGUGGGGAAUAUUGCGCAAUGGGCGAAAGCCUGACGCAGCGACGCCGCGUGGGGGAUGAAGGCCUUCGGGUUGUAAACCCCUUUCGGCAGGGACGAAGCGAAAGUGACGGUACCUGCAGAAGAAGCGCCGGCUAACUACGUGCCAGCAGCCGC
rnacentral:rRNA from 1 species